UACCAGCCCCCUGAGUGGUAAGGACGAUUAUUUGGCUUAAAGCGUACGUAGCCGGCUUAGUGAGUCUCUUGUUAAAUCCAAUGAUUCAAUCAUUGAACUGCAAGAGAUACUACUAUGCUAGAGGACGGGAGAGGUCGACGGUAGUCCAAGGGUAGGGGUGAAAUCCUAUAAUCCUUGGAGGACCACCAGUGGCGAAGGCGGUCGACUAGAACGUGCCUGACGGUGAGGGACGAAAGCUGGGGGAGCGAACCGGAUUAGAUACCCGGGUAGUCCCAGCUGUAAACGAUGCGGGCUAGGUGUAGGGGCAGCUACGAGCUGCUCCUGUGCCGCAGAGAAAUUGUUAAGCCCGCCGCCUGGGGAGUACGAUCGCAAGAUUGAAACUUAAAGGAAUUGGCGGGGAGCACCACAAGGGUGAAGGCUGCGGUUU
rnacentral:rRNA from 1 species